CCGAGGUACCACUGUGUGUAUAUAUGUGAGGUGUAAAGCUUUCCACCUCACAUAUAUACACACAGUGGUACCUCGG